rfam:TPA: Bos taurus chromosome 17, whole genome shotgun sequence.
UCCCUGGUGGCCCAGUGGAUAAGACUCUGCGCUCUCAUUGCAGGGGGCCUGGGUUCGAUCCCUGGCCAGGGAA